rnacentral:lncRNA from 1 species
AAAGCAUGACUUUGUGCUUUCUCACACUUGAUAUAGAGGAGCAGAGUCACCAGUUGUAUUGUACCUCUUUUGGGGCUCCAUUUGCUCCACCAUAUGAACACCAUACCAAGUAGAUACACCCGACUUAGUGUUUCAUUCAGCUUAAGUUUUAAUUCACCAAAGCCUCCACUGCAAAGAAACAUGAAUACAGAACUCUGUGGCAGAACUAUUUUUUAUUUCCAUGUUAUAUUAGUACAUCGUGGUUGCUGCUUCUCUAGUUUUGUGGGGCCUGGAGGUAACACCUGAAUGAGAAAAACCCAGAAGUUUGGUCAUUUCUUUCCUUUUCUUCUAUGUUAAGUUUGACAGCAUUUCUAGAGCACUUGGAAAAGUCACUGCCUUGCCAAGAAAGCGAGGACGUGCACUAGCACAGGUGGAGGAGUGUAGGGCAUCACAGAACGGGUCAGGCUGGAAGGGACCACAGCGGGUCCCCGGGUCCAGCCUCCCUGUUCAGGUCAGCCCGAGGCACAGGAUUGCAUCCAGACGCUUCUCGAAUCUCAGCAGUGAGGGACACUCCCCGAACUCCCAGGACAAUCAGUUCCAUUGUGUUCCACUGCACGGUAAAGAAGUUCUUCCUCGUGUUCAGGUGGAACUUCAGCGCAUCAGUUCCUGCCCGCUGCCCCUUGUCUCAGCGCUUGGCACUGCGGAGCUGAGCCUGGCUCCACCUCCAUCCAUCCCGCAGGGCGGUUCGCACGGCCCAUCGCGGCAGCCCCGACACGGGUCUAACGCCGUCCCGAGGUUAUUUUUUCCGGAAUUUCUGUGGAACCGAGCGCCGCCGCAGCGGCCCGGCCCGACGCGGCCCGGGGAGCCGCGGGCACGGCCGGUGCCGCACCGCCCCCUAGCGCCGGCGGCCGCGCCCGCCCCUCAGCCCCGCCGCCGCCCUCGGCCCGCCCCGCUCCUCGGCCCCGCCACCGCUCCUCGGCCCCGCCACCGCCCCUCGGCCCGCCCCGCCCCUCGGCCCGCCCCGCCACCGCCCGCCCCGCGCCUCAGCCCCGCCACCGCCCUCGGCCCGCCCCGCUCCUCGGCCCCGCCGCCGCCCUCGGCCCCGCCACCGCCCUCGGCCCGCCCCGCU